UUGUUUUUUUUUUUUUUUUUUUUUUUUUUUUUUUUUUUUUUUUUCCCCACAGGGUUUGGGGGGUUAUUA
rnacentral:ribozyme from 1 species